GUUACGCGAGCGCUGAUGACAAAGUUAAAUACGGUGACCCAUUCACCGUAUUUAGAUACGAUGAAUGAUUUACCAUGUUCUAUUAUUUUUCUGCGACGAUGUUAUAAAAUAUUUAGAAUUUAGGAUUUAUGAAGGACAUGAAGAACCAUUCACUAUGUCCAAACACGGUGAAUGGUUCGUCCUGUUCAACUUAAAAUAAACAAUCAUGACACUUGUGUAGCCAGGAUAGGAUCAAC
rnacentral:lncRNA from 1 species